UAAAGAUAGAGGAGCGAAACGCAUCAGUAACUUAGGGAGAGGGAUCUAUGAACUAAGCGAAAGGGCUAACGCCGAAAUGGAAAGGUAGCCAUACUUUUCUGUUGGGUCAGCAACGAAAGUUGUUGAACUGUCGUUAUAUUAAUAACGGGGUGCUAUCU
rnacentral:ncRNA from 1 species